rnacentral:rRNA from 1 species
AAAUUGAAGAGUUUGAUCAUGGCUCAGAUUGAACGCUGGCGGCAGGCCUAACACAUGCAAGUCGAGCGGAAACGAGUUAUCUGAACCUUUGGGGGACGAUAACGGCGUCGAGCGGCGGACGGGUGAGUAAUGCCUAGGAAAUUGCCCUGAUGUGGGGGAUAACCAUUGGAAACGAUGGCUAAUACCGCAUGAUGCCUACGGGCCAAAGAGGGGGACCUUCGGGCCUCUCGCGUCAGGAUAUGCCUAGGUGGGAUUAGCUAGUUGGUGAGGUAAGGGCUCACCAAGGCGACGAUCCCUAGCUGGUCUGAGAGGAUGAUCAGCCACACUGGAACUGAGACACGGUCCAGACUCCUACGGGAGGCAGCAGUGGGGAAUAUUGCACAAUGGGCGCAAGCCUGAUGCAGCCAUGCCGCGUGUGUGAAGAAGGCCUUCGGGUUGUAAAGCACUUUCAGUCGUGAGGAAGGCGGCGUCGUUAAUAGCGGCGUUGUUUGACGUUAGCGACAGAAGAAGCACCGGCUAACUCCGUGCCAGCAGCCGCGGUAAUACGGAGGGUGCGAGCGUUAAUCGGAAUUACUGGGCGUAAAGCGCAUGCAGGUGGUUUGUUAAGUCAGAUGUGAAAGCCCGGGGCUCAACCUCGGAAUUGCAUUUGAAACUGGCAGACUAGAGUACUGUAGAGGGGGGUAGAAUUUCAGGUGUAGCGGUGAAAUGCGUAGAGAUCUGAAGGAAUACCGGUGGCGAAGGCGGCCCCCUGGACAGAUACUGACACU